rnacentral:lncRNA from 10 species
UGGAAAUUCACUUCAUUUUGAAGCUCGGGGUUUCUAUGUGGUUGAUUUAAUCAAAAUAUUAAUGUGAUUUUUCUAGAAGAAGAAAAAGGGAAAAUAUAAAAAUCAUGCUGAUUGGAUUUGAAUAGAUUGUAUUGAUCAUAUAUGAAUAUUAUCUUUCAUCCAGAUUGGAAAGUACUGUUUUGAAAUCCAGUCCUUCACACUUCCAAACUGAUCAUUUUUAAUAAGUAAAUGUCAUUUUGGCUUUUUUUUUUUUUUUCUGGUCAGGAAGAAAAACAAGAAGUUUCCUUCCGCAAACUUCCUAAAAGGUGCCAUGUGUUUUCCUAAAACCAAGGAAAAUUCUAAAAUAGAACUACCAUAUGAUUCAGCAAUCCCACUUCUCUAAAUCUCCAGAAUCUCCAGGGAUUGGAACCAAGUGCUUUAUCUUUACCAUAUACCAAUCCAUGAAUCAACUCCAAAACAGAUCUCUAGAAACAGACAAGACUGACUACUGCCUGAAGGUUUCUGACACCAAGUUCCUGAGAUGUACCAAAUAUGAAAUAAUUUUAGAAUUCGAUCUCAAAUGGCCCUUUUGCAAACUCCAAAAUGUUGUGUAAGUCCAUUUUCUCUUUUGCAUUAUUCUCACAAACAUACUAAAACGUGAUUUGAUGUCUUCUAUUUAUAUUAGUGGUUCAAACAGUUUUAAGCAUACGAAUUAUUUUUCUUCUUAUUUUUUAGAACAUCCUCUUAGGUAGUGCUUCUUCUGUUACCAGUGACAUAAAUGAUCUUUUGUAUCAUAUAACUUAAAGGUUAAAGGGUCAGCUGACUUUUGGUGACAUUAGAUUAUAAAUUCAGGUGAUGUCAUUGGACUCUCUUUACUCAAGUCUCAUCUCUGCUUUCCUUGCAUUUAGGGUUGUCAGAUAAAAUAAUGUCUCCUUAAAUUUAAAUUUCAGAGAGACAAUAAAGAAUGUUUAAUAUAAGUGUAUCACAUACAUUCCAUGGGACAUGCUAU